CCGCGGGGCUCGCCCCUGCGCACGAAGCGGAGGGAUGCCAGGGACAGGUGACCGGGCAGGGGUCCCAGCUGCCAAGUCUGUUGUCGAUGGAGUUUGGCUGGAGAGGUGUGGGGACAGGUUACCGGUGUGGAAAUGAAUAAUGUCACCCAGGCUGACAAAAAUGAAGAGAACGCAAGAUAUUGGCAAGCUGCACAGGCAGAGUCAAGUGCCCUUAGAGGACAGCCAAGGGAACCUUCUCUGCAUCAGGGCACGAACAGCUUGGAAAACGGAACAGCCUAAGUCGAACCCAUCUGCAGAGCCUCCACAUGGUCGUUGUGUGGGGGCAAAGGGAGACACUUCACCCUCACCGCACCUCCUGUUUCCACACUUCUUGGCUAGCUGGCCUUUGGCUGUGGGUGAUUCCCAUGCAGAGGACUGUGGUAGUCAUUAGCUAAGUCAUAGCAAGAUGGCUGCCCGCUCCACCUUUUACCUCAGACCUCGCUUGGGAUUUUAGAGGAAGAGUCCAAUGUGCAUUUGGAACACCUUAGACUUAAGCUGGGCAGGUUUUGGACCAGCAAAUUUGUAUUUUCUACAAGAAAGUGCAUGAGAUGUUUAGAGUAUACUAACAAAAUUGUA